AGCGAAAUGCGAUAAGUAAUGUGAAUUGCAGAAUUCAGUGAAUCAUCGAAUCUUUGAACGCACAUUGCGCCCUCUGGUAUUCCAGAGGGCAUGCCUGUUCGAGCGUCAUUUCAACCCUCAAGCCUAGCUUGGUGUUGGGGCAUUACCCGGCCGCCUUCUGGCGGGAGGGUAAGCCCUGAAAUUUAGUGGCGAGCUCGCCAGGACUCCGAGCGCAGUAGUGUAAACCUCGCUCUGGAUCGUACUGGCGCGGCCCUGCCGUAAAACCCCCAACUUCUGAAAAUU
rnacentral:misc_RNA from 1 species